CAAUAGGUAUGCUUAGGGAGGAGCUUGCGUCACAUUAGUUAGUUGGUGGGGUAAAGGCCUACCAAGACUAUGAUGUGUAGCCGGGCUGAGAGGUUGAACGGCCACAUUGGGACUGAGACACGGCCCAAACUCCUACGGGAGGCAGCAGUAGGGAAUUUUCGGCAAUGGAGGAAACUCUGACCGAGCAACGCCGCGUGAACGAUGAAGUAUUUCGGUACGUAAAGUUCUUUUAUUAGGGAAGAAUAAAUGAUGGAAAAAUCAUUCUGACGGUACCUAAUGAAUAAGCCCCGGCUAACUAUGUGCCAGCAGCCGCGGUAAUACAUAGGGGGCAAGCGUUAUCCGGAAUUAUUGGGCGUAAAGGGUGCGUAGGCGGUUAAAUAAGUUUAUGGUCUAAGUGCAAUGCUCAACAUUGUGAUGCUAUAAAAACUGUUUAGCUAGAGUAAGAUAGAGGCAAGUGGAAUUCCAUGUGUAGUGGUAAAAUGCGUAAAUAUAUGGAGGAACACCAGUAGCGAAGGCGGCUUGCUGGGUCUUUACUGACGCUGAGGCACGAAAGCGUGGGGAGCAAACAGGAUUAGAUACCCUGGUAGUCCACGCCGUAAACGAUGAGUACUAAACGUUGGGUAAAACCAGUGUUGAAGUUAACACAUUAAGUACUCCGCCUGAGUAGUACGUACGCAAGUAUGAAACUUAAAGGAAUUGACGGGACUCCGCACAAGCGGUGGAUCAUGUUGUUUAAUUCGAAGGUACCCGAAAAACCUCACCAGGUCUUGACAUGCUUCUGCAAAGCUGUAGAAACACAGUGGAGGUUAUCAGUUGCACAGGUGGUGCAUGGUUGUCGUCAGCUCGUGUCGUGAGAUGUUGGGUUAAGUCCCGCAACGAGCGCAACCCUUAUUGUUAGUUACCAGCACGUAAUGGUGGGGACUUUAGCAAGACUGCCAGUGAUAAAUUGGAGGAAGGUGGGGACGACGUCAAAUCAUCAUGCCCCUUAUGACCUGGGCUACAAACGUGAUACAAUGGCUGUUACAAAGGGUAGCUGAAGCGCAAGUUUUUGGCGAAUCUCAAAAAACA
rnacentral:rRNA from 1 species